rnacentral:rRNA from 1 species
GACGAACGCUGGCGGCGUGCUUAACACAUGCAAGUCGAACGGAAAGGCCUCUUUCGGGGGGUACUCGAGUGGCGAACGGGUGAGUAACACGUGAGUAACCUGCCCUUGACUUUGGGAUAACUUCAGGAAACUGGGGCUAAUACCGGAUAGGAGCUCCUGCUGCAUGGUGGGGGUUGGAAAGUUUCGGCGGUUGGGGAUGGACUCGCGGCUUAUCAGCUUGUUGGUGGGGUAGUGGCUUACCAAGGCUUUGACGGGUAGCCGGCCUGAGAGGGUGACCGGCCACAUUGGGACUGAGAUACGGCCCAGACUCCUACGGGAGGCAGCAGUGGGGAAUAUUGCACAAUGGGUGGAAGCCUGAUGCAGCAACGCCGUGUGCGGGAUGACGGACUUCGGGUUGUAAACCGCUUUCGCUCAUGACGAAGCUUUGUGUGACGGUAGUGGGUAAAGAAGCACCGGCUAACUACGUG